UGACUGUAAAAAGUCCCAUAGGUUAACUAUCAUGACCAAACAAAAUAAUAACACUCUGGCCUUUCAUAUUUUCAAGUGAAAUUGGGUCAUAGCUGUUCAUAAUCUUUGGGAAUUUUACUGUAUUCUGGGUUUUGUUGUUGUUUUGUUUGUUUGUUUGGGUUUUUGUUUGUUCGUUUUCUUUUUGAUACAGAGCUUCUCUAUGUUGCCUUGGCUGUCCUGGAACUUGUUAUGUAGACCAGGGCGGCAUCAAAUUUACAAAGAUCCACCUGUCUCUGCCUUCCAAGUGCUGGCGUCAAAUACUGUACUACCAUGUCCAGCUUAUUAAGCAUUCUUAUAUGUGUUCUAUCUUGGAAGAGGUAGAUGCUUAGACACCUUUAUUGUUCUUAAGAGGCAUGGAGGAGUUGAAACUCUUAUCAACUCUAGAUAGCAAUUCUAGAACUGUCCCCUCACCAGAGUAACGUCCCUGUACUCCAAAGUAGGGGCCUGUUUUCCUGAUCUUCGGGAGAAUUGUGUAUAUAGUUGGAUGUAGAGGAACAAUCAGAAAGGGGCAGCUUGUAUCCAAGUGGAGGUAACUAGAUCUGAGAAGUGUCCUGAAUGACCAAUUUCUGCAGUGUAUCCCUAAGGGUAGCUGAUCUCAUUAAACAACAGCUUUGUCAAACAUUAUCCUAAUGUGGUUUACAUAUGAAAAGCUUCCUUCUUUACUUAAAUUCACAGGUUGUUAUAGAUUAAUUAGCCCAUCUGCCACAACAAACGAAUUCACACAUCGUUUGCACUGACUGCCGAAAAGUGAAUUCUUUUUUUAUCCACUUAAGAUUGCUCCGCCAAUAUAAUGAAAAAACAAUUACUGU
rnacentral:lncRNA from 1 species